GAUGAACGCUGGCGGCGUGCUUAACACAUGCAAGUCGAACGGUGAAGGCGGAGCUUGCUCUGCUGGAUCAGUGGCGAACGGGUGAGUAACACGUGAGCAAUCUGCCCCUGACUCUGGGAUAAGCGCUGGAAACGGCGUCUAAUACUGGAUACGAGCUGCGAAGGCAUCUUCAGCAGCUGGAAAGAAUUUCGGUCAGGGAUGAGCUCGCGGCCUAUCAGCUUGUUGGUGAGGUAAUGGCUCACCAAGGCGUCGACGGGUAGCCGGCCUGAGAGGGUGACCGGCCACACUAGGCCUGAGACACGGCCCAGACUCCUACGGGAGGCAGCGGUGGGGAAUAUUGCACAAUGGGCGCGAGCCUGAUGCAGCAACGCCGCGUGAGGGAAGACGGCCCGCGGGUUGUGAACCUCUUUUAGCAGGGAAGAAGCGAAAGUGACGGUACCUGCAGAAAAAGCGCCGGCUAACUACGUG
rnacentral:rRNA from 1 species